UUUUUAAGAGUGAAAAUACUUCAGUCGACACAUUAAGUGGAACAGAAAUGAGGAACCCAAAUGUGCGUUCUAAUCCGGUCCAAUUCCUACCAGUUGUGUAGGAACCGGUUUCUAAUAGUGGUUUCGGUACCCAACCCUAGCAUGUGUGUGUAUUUC